AGCAUCGGUCUAUCUCAUGGGUCUCCUUCCUCUACCUGCAGUACUCUAGCUACAGCUAACAGUAGUCCCUGUACUCUGUAGAUAUAUAGCUUGUGGCGUUGUGCAUCGUGUACUAACACUCUGCCAUGUCCAAAGACGGCAGCCCGGCGGCGGCGGCUCAGCCUGAUCAGCCGGCGGUAGCCGACGCUGCCGCCGUACCGUCGCCGCCGCCGACGACGACGGCGGAGGUGAAGCCCCUGACCAUCUUCUACAACGGCAGCGUCGCCACGUUCCAUCUCACGCAAGACAAGGUCUGGCAGAGGAUAUCAUGAACAUGGCAGCCGGCGAGGAGGAGGAGGACGGCGGCGGCGGCGGCCGGCGGCAGUUGACGGCGGCGGCGGCGAUAUCGGCAAGCAGCAGCGGCGACCAGCUGCUGGAGAAGCUAAAGCGAGAGUUGCCCAUUGCGAACAAGAGAUCGUUGGUGCGCUUCUUCCAGAAGCGCAAGGAGAGAUUGUACAGGCCCUAGCUGGGGAGAUCCAUCAGGGAACUGAUGAACCAUAGAGGAGGCAACAACCAGUAGUAGUCUCCUAUUACUGCUGAUGCUCUGUGAAAAAGAUGUAGUUAGCACAGUAAUAAUUUACACCUACACACAGUGUGUAUACUGUAUAAUGGUUUUAUUAUCUCUGAACUCAUCUUCCAUGUGACCAUGUCAAUGUGAAUAUUUUUCUCUGGAAAGCGGUUUAGUUUUCAUUAAGUGAAAGGUA